rnacentral:rRNA from 1 species
UGGGGAAUUUUGGACAAUGGGGGAAACCCUGAUCCAGCCAUCCCGCGUGUGCGAUGAAGGCCUUCGGGUUGUAAAGCACUUUUGGCAGGAAAGAAACGUCGCGGGUUAAUACCCCGCGAAACUGACGGUACCUGCAGAAUAAGCACCGGCUAACUACGUGCCAGCAGCCGCGGUAAUACGUAGGGUGCAAGCGUUAAUCGGAAUUACUGGGCGUAAAGCGUGCGCAGGCGGUUCGGAAAGAAAGAUGUGAAAUCCCAGAGCUUAACUUUGGAACUGCAUUUUUAACUACCGGGCUAGAGUGUGUCAGAGGGAGGUGGAAUUCCGCGUGUAGCAGUGAAAUGCGUAGAUAUGCGGAGGAACACCGAUGGCGAAGGCAGCCUCCUGGGAUAACACUGACGCUCAUGCACGAAAGCGUGGGGAGCAAAGCAGGAUUAGAUACCCUGGUAGUCCACGCCCUAAACGAUGUCAACUAGCUGUUGGGGCCUUCGGGCCUUGGUAGCGCAGCUAACGCGUGAAGUUGACCGCCUGGGGAGUACGGUCGCAAGAUU